ACGCGAAAAAAUGCGUACAACAAACUUGCGUAAACCAAAAAAAU
rnacentral:misc_RNA from 2 species